UGUAUGAGAAGCUUUAUUAUUCUAACAGAUUUUGUUUACAAGCAGAAAAUAUUGGUAAAUCUCAUAUAACAUAAGGAUGUAUCAAUAGUUCCAUAUGCUAUGCUUUAAUAGAGUUCUGUAAGGUUUCUAAAGAUGACUUAAGUCAGCGUCACUGAAAAUAAAGAGUCAGAAAUAACCUAAAAAAUGAGUGAUUCCAUAGAACAAAUAUAUUCAUUUUACAGAUGGGGAACUGUGACAUGAAGAAGUUAACUUACCUAAGAUCAGAGAAUGAGUCAAGGACAGAACAGGACCAUGUCAUCAAAUUUAGAGAAACUUGAACUAUGCAGAAAAGAGAUGGGAUUCUUCUGUGGCUGUGCUGCUCACUCAAGGGAGUCUGAACCAUUUUGACCAGGAAAAGUCAAAAGGAAAGGCCUCUGCCAAGGGCAGACCACACAUUGCCCGAAGUCAUUGUUCUCCAUUCCAGCCCCAAGAACUCUGCGAGAUCAAUGAAAGCAUACAUUGAGAAAUAAAAGUCAUGAGAAAAUUUUACAAAUUAGCUAGCUUUCAUUUCCUGUUGGCUUUUCCAGCACAUGCUUGGCACCAGAUGAGAGUAAUGUGGUAAUGCAGUAAAAUAUCCCUGUGAGACACUAUCUGCUUAGAGACAGGAGGCAGUGAGAUGCUUUAGCCCUUGAUGUCCUAAGGGCCUGUCUGGACAUCGUGAGGUUUUCUCAGAAGCCAAUGUAAUAGACUUUUUGUCAUAUCAAGUUUGUUUUUUAGGGAAUUUCAAGGCAUCAACAUUAUCUAUAUUUCCACUGCUGGCUCUGAUUUGGAAAUGCCAGUAAAGUUGGUGUGCUUUAUAUUUACUUGAUCUCUAAAAAAAUGUGUGAGCUCAAUCUUGUCUUGUCCUAACUGGCAUAAUUAUUCAUCACGGAUGCGUUUCAUGGGAUUAGAACCAGUAACAGGAAGUCACAGUGUGCCCUAUUUUAACAAAAACAAAUGUCUAGGCCCUGAACAUGGAAA
rnacentral:lncRNA from 1 species